rnacentral:rRNA from 1 species
UUGAAGAGUUUGAUCAUGGCUCAGAUUGAACGCUGGCGGCAGGCCUAACACAUGCAAGUCGAGGGGCAGCGGGGAAAAGCUUGCUUUUCCGCCGGCGACCGGCGCACGGGUGCGCACCGCGUAUGGAACCUGCCUUGUACAGGGGAAUAGCCCAGGGAAACUUGGAUUAAUGCCCCGUAGUACCGUAUUUCGGCAUCGUUAUACGGUUAAAGCCUUCGGGCGGUACAAGAUGGCCAUGCGUCCCAUUAGCUGGAUGGUAAGGUAACGGCUUACCAUGGCUACGAUGGGUAGGGGCCCUGAGAGGGGGAUCCCCCACACUGGUACUGAGACACGGACCAGACUCCUACGGGAGGCAGCAGUGAGGAAUAUUGGACAAUGGAGGCAACUCUGAUCCAGCCAUGCCGCGUGAAGGAAGACUGCCCUAUGGGUUGUAAACUGCUUUUAUAUGGGAAGAAUAAGUAGUACGUGUACUACGAUGACGGUACCAUACGAAUAAGCACCGGCUAACUCCGUGCCAGCAGCCGCGGUAAGACGGAGGAUGCAAGUGUUAUCCGGAAU